rnacentral:misc_RNA from 1 species
CAUAAAGAAUGAGUGAGAUGCAUGAGAAAUAUAGAAAAAAAACCUUAAGUUUUUAAUUUUGCGAUUAGAAUCGCGGGGACAUCGUUUUAUAGAGAUAAAUAGCGCUUUUAAAACACACAGUGACGUCAAAAACCAGUAUGAGAAACAGUUCAGAAGUACAUAAGUGGUGAUUGGAAGCAACCGGCUACAGUACGGAAUUUGUUCCCGUUUCAUUCGGCCGCUAAAUUCUGCUCAUUUAAUAUAAAUAUUUUAUUACUUUUAUUACCGAAAUUUAUGUGUCAAUGACAAAAUUGAAGAGAAAAUUCGCGAUAACCGACAAAUUUCUACCCAGGCUAGCUAAAAAUCUGUGCACUCGAAAAGGCAGCCGACGUGCUAAUACCGGAAACCGCUUGGAGCACGCCGUACUGACUCACAUUCAGCACGUGCCGUAGACUGCCUGCUUCCCCACUCUCAUUACCUUCAUCAUCAUCACCUACUAACCCGGUCGACAAAAUGGCCCGCGGCGAUGAAUGCAAAACAGCCACUAAGGCUACCCAUGCCUGCAAGCAAUUCGAUGUAUCUGCUCUAAUCAAAAAACCUAUAGCAAGCCAAUCAACUCAGGAAAAGAAGAAGCCGGAGCAGAAGAAUUACGGCGCCUGGGGGCCCACAUUCAAGGACAAGAAAACUUUUGUCGACAUGCAUAUCUGCUGAACCAACGGCACCAUCACCGCUUAACAUAACGUCUCUUGCUACCAAAAUGUCAUCGUAUAAUAUACUUAUUCAAUAAAUAGCAUGUAACCUUUGUGCCGUUUUAGCUUUUCACUUCUCUUCUCUUCUACGGUUUAGGGUAUCUCGCGUACUAACAAUCCUGUAUUAUUUUAACAAUUAAAGCAUCAUCAUAAGCAUCAGAUUUUUUGUUAUAACCUAAAGAUAUACGACUGAAUUUUUUUAUAUUUUAUUAAUUAAACUAAAAUUAGAUAUUAUAAUUUUUUAUUAUUUAUUGCUUUUGAAACAAGGUAGACAGUCUAUGUGAAUUUAAAGCUUUUAAUACUAAAAAAAGUUUAAUCUUUGCUAGUCGACAAUAAAAGUUUCAUCAUACAAAGUCAUUUAAAAUGAAAAAAAAAAAUGAAGAUUCUUUAAUGAGAAAAGUUUAAUGGUAUCACGAUAGUUUUAACUUUUACAAUGGUUGGCUGUCUGUAAAAAUACACGAAAAUCGUGUUCGUUUGCAAUUAGGUGCUUCUUAAAAAGUAAAAAUUAUUAAAACGAAUUUUUCUCAACCUAGAUAUGUGUGCACUGCGGUAUUUUUGGUUUAACUGUAGGUACUGCAGAGGCUGGUAUAAAAAUAAUUGAUAAAAAGUUUAUAGUUUGUAUUUCUAUAAUAUAUUAAGUGAAAAAAUAUUAUUAUUACUCUUAUUCUGUUACUAUGAAUGAAAUAACUUCGGUUUUCAGGAGUAAUAGAAGGAAUUUGAAGCAUUUAAUACAAUUUUUAUUUAAAUGUUUCAGUUUUUGAAUAUGGGAACUUUUUCAAAUUUCGAAGAAUUACUUUGUAAUUUACUAAGAAUACUACUAUAUUAUAUUAUAGAAGGAACGUGACUAUAUGUAACAUGUUAAAAAAAUCUCUAUUUUAUGCUCUGCAAUAUUUUAAUCCUUGUUUUUCAGUGAAAACUUUCUUGUGAUCAACAAAUGAAUGCCAAUUUUUGCUAUUUCGCUUCUAUGUUAAAAAUUAGAGAGCGUAUUUUGCUACUGUGAUUUGCAUUAUUGACUACGAAAUUGUCUUAGGCAGAAUAUUGGUCUGUUCUGAACGUGAUGGUUGACACAGAGUGCACCAGAAAUAUAUAAUCUGAUAGAAAUUUAUAAUGUAAGACAUUUCCACCUGCUGGUAGAUGAUUAACGUAGUUUAUAGACGCCGCGAUGGCGUAACGGUUACAGCC